CAAUAGCGUAUAUUAAAGUUGUUGCAGUUAAAAAGCUCGUAGUUGGAUUUGUGGCGUACGGUGUGUUCCGGGCACUUGUUGUCUGAGUAACCUGCUGUUGCCAUCCUUGGGUGGAACCUGUGUGGCAUUAGGUUGUCGUGCAGGGGAUGCCCAUCAUUUACUGUGAAAAAAUUAGAGUGUUCAAAGCAGGCUUAUGCCGUUGAAUAUAUUAGCAUGGAAUAAUGAGAUAGGACUUUUUUGCUAUUUUGUUGGUUUGCGCAAAGAGGUAAUGAUUAAUAGGGACAGUUGGGGGUAUUCGUAUUCCAUUGUCAGAGGUGAAAUUCUUGGAUUUUUGGAAGACGAACCACUGCGAAAGCAUUUACCAAGGAUGUUUUCAUUAA
rnacentral:rRNA from 1 species